GCAGAACAGGUGGGCGGGACUUUUGAGGUUUCCCUUUACCUUCACACCUAUCAGGACGGUCGCGGUGGCAUCUGAUCCCCCUCCCCCCGGCCAAUCAGAAGACAGCACAGCCGGCCCCACGCUUACAUGAGUUGUGUGCUGGCUGAGCAAGCAAGCAAGCACGCCUGCCUGCCUUCAGUAACCAGCUGAGAGGAAGUAGGCUGAAAGGCAAAGCACAGAAGAGAGAGAGACAAGUGGGGAGGAACAGAAAGAAAGGCCAGCACUCCCUCAUUCCAUGCAAGUAACCUUUCAACUCCUCACAGUCUUGAAGCAACAACAAGCACGACUCUAGAGCUCCGACAGAGAGGACGGAGAAACCGAGGAGGAGGAGGAGGAAAGGGCAGGAGUUCUUAGAGAGGUGAGUCAGGAGGCUAAUGUGAAUUUUGUAGUGUGU
rnacentral:lncRNA from 1 species